GUGCACCAGGCGCGAAUCUUCCACAAUGGACGAAAGUCUGAUGGAGCGACACCGCGUGACUGAUGACGCCUUUCGGGGUGUAAAGGUCUUUUAUGAGGGAUGACAUUGCGACAGUACCUCAUGAAUAAGGGGCUGCUAAUCACGUGCCAGCAGCAGCGGUAAUACGUGAGCCCCGAGCGUUAUCCGGAAUUAUUGGGCGUAAAGAGUGCGUAGGCGGUCGUGUUAGUCUUCUGUUUAAUCCAUCGGCUUAACCGGUGAACUGCAGAGGAAACGGCACGACUGGAGUGUGUGAGAGGUUUGCGGAACUCAUGGUGUAGGGGUGAAAUCCGUUGAUAUCAUGGGGAACACCAAAUGCGAAGGCAGCAAACUGGCACAUU
rnacentral:rRNA from 1 species